UCUACCUGGUCUCUCUUUACCCAGGUGCAUCCUCCAUGCACGGUGUAGCUGAGAAGGAGGACCUGGCAGGGCUCUGUGACUGGGAAACAGCUGAGUUCCUUCCUGUUUCUGCUGCAAACCAGGGCAAAGCCAGCUGAACCUAGCCUUUUGCAGCAGAGACUUCCUGCUGGACUGAUCUUCUGAGACAAAGUGUGACCCUUGGUCUCUUCCAAUGGAUGAUGGAACGCCAUCUCAUCCUCUGACCAGAGGAUCAAAGACUGCCCCAAAAGUCCCAUACUGGAUCCAUGUGUUGCACCCUAGGCUGGAGCAGAUAAAAUGGAUCAGGAAGGGACAACAGCUCUGCCAGCUCCCAGCCAUAAUGCUGUCCCCAAUGGCUUCAGUGACAGAGGCAGCAGUGGGGGGAUGACAGGUCACAUGAAGAGGAGCAGCAAGGUGCUCCAGGAGCCCCGUCAGCAUCCCCACCUCCUUCCUCAGUGUCUAGGCUGAGGCUGAAACCUGACUUCCCAGGGCCAAUCUCUGCCUAUGAACCUCUGUGCACGUAAGAGCUGUGAAUUAACCUCUCUGGUCUCCGAGCCUCUCCCCAAGGCAACGAUUACCACAGACCCCACUUUCGCAAACACUUUUGAAUCCACAAGACUUCAGCACUCUGCAGCUGUGGUUACUAUUCUCCAGAGUCCUGAUCUGCUGUCCCAAAUUCCCCAACACUAGGCACAGACGGCUCUGAUAAAA